CAUAAUACCAAACAAAACUAUAACAAAGUAAGUUGUUUAGAUGUAUUUUGUUUUCAUCUGUCAGUGAUGUCCGCAUGAUAACUCUCAUGCUCGUCGAACGUUCAACAGCCCGGAAACUAUUAAGCUUUUAGCUUCAAAGUUUGUUGUUAAAGUCAAUCGUUAAUGAAUUCAAUCGUAUAAUUUUAUGUUAUUUGGCUUUUGUUAAAAGUAGUUCCGCUCGUUUUCUCUUAGUUGUCACGAUCUAUGUUUUAUGUUAUGGCCUUGCAGCUUUGCAGAUUUCAUCGAACCGAAUUGUCUAGUAAGAAAACACAUCCGAUUUGAGGAUUUUCGACAGAAAUUCGUACAAAUUCCUAUUGAUCUUUUAAGAUAAUGAGGUUCUUCGCGGUUUGAACGGCAAACACUUUUCUUCGAGUCAGCUCCUGCCGGUGGAAAGUAUAAACGGUGGUUACGCCCAUUUUUCAACGUGGUCGCCUUUCAACGGGAGAUCACCUCCGACGGACGAUUUCGAAUCACAGCACGAACUUACAAACGCCAAGGAAUAAUGUCAUGCAAAUUGACCUAAUCAAUUCCUCCUUGGAAAUAUGAAUUCUCAAUUCAUGUUACAGUUUCAUGUGAUUGUAGCUUGAUCCAGAGCUGUAGAAAGACAAUAUUUCGCUUGUGCAAGCUCUUUUGAAAAUAAUGAAACUCGGAUUGCCAGGAGUCAGCGAGGAGUUGCUCCACUGCGACCCUAGGUCAAGCGUGGCUCGUUUACUCCUUCAAUUAACUCUAAUCUCUCAAAUCGAAACUGUUUUUUUUUUUUUUAAGUUCACAGUGAUUUGUCGAUCAA